rfam:Pongo abelii chromosome 6.
ACAAAGGCUCUUUUCAGAGCCACUUCAACGAUCAUGAAAAGAUGAC